rnacentral:rRNA from 1 species
UACAGAGGGUGCAAGCGUUGUUCGGAAUUAUUGGGCGUAAAGCGCGUGUAGGCGGCUUGGCAAGUCGGGUGUGAAAGCCCUCAGCUCAACUGAGGAAGUGCGCCCGAAACUGCUGAGCUCGAGUGCCGGAGAGGGUGGCGGAAUUCCCCAAGUAGAGGUGAAAUUCGUAGAUAUGGGGGAGGAACACCGGUGGCGAAGGCGGCCAC